rnacentral:rRNA from 1 species
UCGAGAAUCUUUCGCAAUGGGCGAAAGCCUGAUGGAGCGACGUCGCGUGAUGGACGAAGUGCUUCGGCACGUAAACAUCUUUUAUGUGGGAUGAAAUUAUUGACAGUACCACAUGAAUAAGGGGCUCCUAACUCUGUGCCAGCAGGAGCGGUAAUACAGAGGCCCCAAGCGUUAUCCGGAAUCACUGGGCGUAAAGGGUGUCGAGGCGGUUGUAUUAGUCGUUCGUAAAAUCUACGAGCUUAACUUGUAGGCGGCGAACGAAACGGUACGACUUGAGGUUUGGAGAGGUGCGUGGAACUCACGGUGUAGGGGUGAAAUCCGUUGAUAUCGUGGGGAACACCCAAGGCGAAGGCAGCGCACUGGCCAAAAUCUGACGCUCACACACGAAAGCUAGGGUAGCGAAGAGGAUUAGAUACCCUCGUAGUCCCUGAGCGGGCUGGCAAGGCGCAU